UAGGGAAUCUUCCACAAUGGACGCAAGUCUGAUGGAGCAACGCCGCGUGAGUGAAGAAGGGUUUCGGCCCGUAAAGCUCUGUUGUUAAAGAAGAACACGUAUGAGAGUAACUGUUCAUACGUUGACGGUAUUUAACCAGAAAGUCACGGCUAACUACGUGCCAG
rnacentral:rRNA from 1 species